GGGUAAGUCUUGUACGAUCUGCUCCCUUUUAACUCCCCCAGGACAGGAAUGUAGCAAGGGUCCAAAGGUCGUAGCGAUGCGAUGCAAGUCGCUUACCCU
rnacentral:SRP_RNA from 1 species